AUAGAUGCCCCGGUGGCCGAAUGGGUAAUGCGGCCACCUGGUAGCGCCUUGGCGUGGGGACCCAAGGCGCGUGGGUUCGAAACCCGCAGGGGACAACAUUACAUCCGGAGCCAACUUCUCAGCUCCUAAAAUAAUGGGAUGUGAACCUGCCAAGUAGGUACCUUCGGGCGGACCUACUACUUGAUUUAGCUGAUUUUUCCUGGGCUGGGAACCUGUAUUGCAUGUACCAAAUCCUGUCUUUCAUUAAUUUUCCUAUGUUCCUGUUAUAUUCUUGGCGUUGUUCAACACUAAGCAUUCCUCCUGUAUAACCAACUCUUGCCUGUAUUUAACAUCACACAAGGACUCAUCAUAAGCACUGCUUGCAUACGAGUAUAACGGAAGAAUAAUAAUAAUAAUAAUGAUAUCUAUAGAUUACAGAA
rnacentral:sRNA from 1 species